rfam:Salmo salar isolate Sally breed double haploid chromosome ssa27, whole genome shotgun sequence.
UUCCCUGUGGCUUAGUUGGUAGAGCAUGGUGUUUGCAAAGCCAGGGUUGUGGGUUUGAUUCCCACGGGGGACC